rnacentral:rRNA from 1 species
GACGAACGCUGGCGGCGUGCUUAACACAUGCAAGUCGAACGGAAAGGCGCUGCUCUUGCUGGGUGCUCGUGUGGCGCGCGGGUGUGAAACACGUGAAUAUCCCCCCCUUUGCUUUGGGAUAACUCCAGGAAACUGGGGAUAAUACAGGACAGCAGCUCGUGCUACAUGGUGGGGGUUGGACAGUGGCGGCGUUUGGGGAUGGACGGGCGGCUAAUCAGCUUGUUGGUGGGGUAGUGACUUACCAAGGCAUGGACGGGUAGCCGGCCUGAGAGGGUGACCGGGCACAUUGGGACUGAGGGAGGGCCCAGAGUGCUACGGGAGGCAGUGGGGGGGAACAUUGCGCAAUGGGCGGAGGCCUGAUACAGCGACGUCGCGUGCGGGAUGACGGUUUUCGGGUUAUAAACCGCUUUCGCCUGUGACGAAGCGUGAGUGACGGUAAUGGGUAAAGAAGCACCGGCUAACUACGUG